GUUUUCCGCGACACAGAAUCAACAGAGUUUAUAAUCGUGACAAUCCCAACGGUGAUGGCAAUCAGUGAGUCAUCAAGAUUGCAUUCUUCGUUGCAAAAGGAAAGUGUUCCUAUAAGGAGACUCAUUGUGAACCAAGUUCUGCCACCUUCAACAUCGGACUGUAGAUUCUGUGCUAUAAAAAGAAAGGAUCAAACGCGUGCAUUGGAUAUGAUACGGACUGACCUAGAGUUAAAAGGUUUGAAUAUUAUCCAAGCACCUCUUGUGGACAUGGAGAUUAGAGGUGUUCUGGCUCACAAUUUUUUGGGUGAUAUAUUGUGGAAGUAACUUCAGUUAUGGGAAACAGGAUCGCUUAUAAGGGUGCUUAAUUGGCCAAUAUCACUGUUAGCCUUCUGCACAAUUGCACUGCUCUACAACUAGCAAUCUGUGGGCUCUUCUGGUUGUUUCCAGCUAACAAUUGCACAAUAAGCUUAAGUUGUUUCCAGCUACAAUACAGCACAACACAUUCUCCAUGGUGCGUUAAAUCUGAGUAGAAAGCACUGAAUUGGAGGGUUUUGCUGCACUCCUGCACUAGCAUUUGAUGACUUGUUACUCUUGGCAGUGAUGCAGAUUGGAUUUAGCCCUAAAUUAGGCUAAUUGAAGUGAAAUGAUGUAAUAUGUAGAAUGAUGAUUAAUGUUUCUGCAUAUUAAUGGAUUUUAUUAUAA